UUUAGUAAGUUUAUUUCUUGUCCAGCGUCGUGCGUAUGUUUUCUUGCAAUAUGUCGGUCAACUGGACAGUUCCGGCAUCCUGUCCAUACGCAAUGAGCGAUAUCGUUAAGCGUAACAACGAGGGCUGCUGUAGCGGGGAGGCAACGUCCCUUAUUUGUUCUCUGUACUUCAGGUUUCAGGGAAUGAUGUUGCGAAUGAGUGACGAGCACAAUGGAGAUGUGGGACUGACCUAAAUGUGUUAACAAGAUUGUCGUUUGGUUACGUUCGAUGCUGUCUGUUCAGUGUACUGGCGACGAACAAUAUGGAGAUAUGGGACUGACGUAUGUGUGUGUUAAGAUUCAAUCGUUUGGAUACGUUGUUGGCUCGGGUACCUCUUGGAUUUACGUCUUUAUUAUCUUUAUAGGUGCUGGCAGAGUCAUGGAAUGAAGGUCACGAUUACAACGCCUGGCCUGUAAGCCAUUUGUUGGCACUUCAGCUGGGCUGGAGCUACGAUCACAUUUUAGGUGCUUCCAGGCUCAUGGAUUGGAGGUGACGAAUACAACGCCUGUCCUGUGGGUCAUUUGUUGGCACUUCGGCUUAGCUGCAGCUACGAUCCAAUUUCAGUGUACCUCGGAAACGUUCCUUCCUGCUACCCACAGCCGUCUACCACCCCACACGUGUGUAAAGCACUGGUUGCCUUUGGAGCACUCAA